rnacentral:sRNA from 1 species
GAACAAUGGGAAACAAAUAUCUUCAUCGAACUUAUAUUAACUCAUCAUAUUGCAUGAUUAACACGAUCAAUCAACAGAAGAAAGCAAUAAAAAAUAAAAAUAAAAAUAAAAAUGAGGCUCUGUUAGCCUUUAUGAAGGAAGGGUAGGACAUAUAUGCUUGAUCAAUGUUCUUGGGAUGAAGAAUUAUUCACUUGGACUUCAUUAUUACUCGAUCAGGCAUCAGCGGCGCUCGGAGAUGGAGCAGAUUCACUGCUGGACUCUUCCGCUGGGCCUGGGGCCGCCGCAGGCCCAGCCGGGCUCUCAGCGGGCGCGUCGGAGGCCAACAAUACCCUGGAGCCACCGGUGACUGUCG